ACAGCCCGGUCGGGAGAGUCCUCGAUGCGUGUCGUCGGGGCGCCGAAGGAGCAAGCCUCCCCGCACACUCUCAGGCAUCCCAGACCGGCCGGGCGAG
rnacentral:ncRNA from 2 species